rnacentral:rRNA from 1 species
GACGAACGCUGGCGGCGUGCCUAAUACAUGCAAGUAGAACGCUGAAGGAGGAGCUUGCUUCUCUGGAUGAGUUGCGAACGGGUGAGUAACGCGUAGGUAACCUGCCUGGUAGUGGGGGAUAACUAUUGGAAACGAUAGCUAAUACCGCAUAAUAGCAGUUGUUGCAUGAUAACUGUUUGAAAGGUGCAAUUGCACCGCUACCAGAUGGACCUGCGUUGUAUUAGCUAGUUGGUGGGGUAACGGCUCACCAAGGCGACGAUACAUAGCCGACCUGAGAGGGGGGUCGGCCACACUGGGACUGAGACACGGCCCAGACUCCUACGGGAGGCAGCAGUAGGGAAUCUUCGGCAAUGGACGGAAGUCUGACCGAGCAAAGCCGCGUGAGUGAAGAAGGGUUUCGGAUCGUAAAGCUCUGUUGUAAGAGAAGAACGAGUGUGAGAGUGGAAAGUUCACACUGUGACGGUAUCUUACCAGAAAGGGACGGCUAACUACGUG